ACAGCAGGAAGCAUAGAAGGAAUCCAUGGCUUUUCCUCUAAUUGCUCAAAAACAUCCAGCUUGCUUCAGGGAGUCCUGAAAGUGUUACAGCCGAAACUGAAAGUGAGACCACUCAAAGUUUAGUUUUGCUUCAAGAGGUCAAAACCCACAUCACAAAUGCUAAUUUAGAAAGCAAAAACCUUUGAUCUGGGAAGCCCAGAUUUAUCAAAAGCAAACAGAUCUUUGAUCGUGAGGGUACUGGGAGUAGAAUGGAGACUGCAUGAGAAUCCGAGUUGCAGUGCAGAGAGGAAGUCUGGGACCGGUGCUCACCACGCUCCGGGGACCCGCUAAAGGGCAGCAUUACCCGCUCAUGUCUCCUUUGAAGAGCGACGGGUUCCAGCACCGGUGAGGGGAGCCUGGGUCUCAGGAGGUUCUUGCUAUAGCUACUUGUCCCUCCACUUCCGCUGGAAAGACUCCCACUCACGCACUAGAGUUAUGUGGAUUCCCAGCCCCCUGCCCUCUGUGAGCAUGUACACCACUCUUAGUGACCAAGGAGCCUUUCAAAUCUCCUGAAAUAUAUUGCUGGUGAGGAGGGGAUAUCCUUGAUACCCAGUGAGGAAAUGUCUAUUGCUCUUGGAGAUAUGAGACCCAUCCCUGUUACAAAAGAUUUCAUUUGAGUAAACCCUUCUGUGCUUAAGGUCCUUCGAAAGACUUUUGGUUUCACAUGCAAAGUAUGAAGGUUUACUCUCAUCUUUCCUGGAACAAACUGGUGACCAAACUGAAGAGGAAAGACUUUUCUUACACCCAUCAGAGAGCUGACAUAUGGAGAGUUCUUUGGAAUCCCAAAGACAACAAAAUGAAGAGAAGUGAACUAGAGAAAUUGGAAGUCCAAAGCAUCUACAGCUAUAGUGAACAUUCAAUUCAGUCCCAUUCAGUCCGCAUUCAGAAGAUGUACAAGAGUCCCUUGUACAUCUUCCCACCAGAGGCCUGGUUACCUUGGAUACAAUUACAACAUACCCAACUUUCUACAAAAAGUUACAAAGCACUCUAAAAAGCAAGAAAAAACUCACUAUGUUUAGAGUCAAACUAAGCAUCUUCGGCACAGAAGAACAUAAAUUUUUGGAAUUACGAGCUAGGUGAUCAAAGUCCACUUCCACAGUGCUGAGUCAUGAUGAAAUCAUGCAACCUUGGAACCAUGUGAUGGCAGCAGGACUUCUCCUCUGCAUUCUUCACCAAGAAACACAUCACUCCAGUCCAAUUUGAGGAAAACAUCGUCUACUACCAUAUCGAGGGACAGUCUACAAAAUACCUGACUAGAGCUCUUCAAAACCGUCAAGGCCACCAAAAACAAGAAAAUCUGAGAUACUCAGCAAGAGGGACCCAGGAGACAAGACUAUUAAAUUAAUGUGGAAACCCAGAGGCCCAACUUCUCCCUGACCCAUUCCAAGAGCCCUGGAGUGAAACAGGACCAUAGAACAUGAGCUCCGGUGCCAGGGAUGAAGACACUGCCACCACGAAAUUCCAGAGGCAGGAAGUUGUGGUGUUUAAGAGCAGAGUCACCAUGAUUUAUUAGCUGAGUGACCAUUGCAAGUUCCUUCACCUUUCUAGGUCCCUGUUUUUCACCUGUAAAAUGUAUAGAUAAAAAUAAGAAUACCUAGGUUAUAAUCCUGACCAGAAUUACCUGAAUCAGACCCUGUGCAGUGCUUGUAACGGAGUCUGGGGUGUGGUGAGAGCUAUGCAUAGUGAUGGGAACUAAGUCAAGGACUCAUCUGAAAUCAGCAAUCCAGGGGCAGCAGUAAGGGUGGUGGACAGCAUACGGCAGUUUGUGUGCUAUUUUUCCACUCAAACAAUGCAAAACUCAAAUCCCCACAAUUUUGCCGAACAUUUGUUUAAUACUAAGUGAGCAAAUUUUAUUUGUCUGGUUUUGUACCAAUCACUUCACAUGUGUUUACUGCAUUCAAUCAUUACUAGGUCACAGUUUCUUUCUUUCUUUCUUUUUUUCUUUUUUUACAUUUGUGUGUGUGUAUGUGUGUGUGGUGCUGGAGAUCAAACCCAGGGCACUGUGCAUACGAGGCAAGAGCUCGACCACUGAGCCACAUCCCCAGCCCUCAGUCACAGUUUCUAUGCCUCCCUUUCUUUCAU